AGUGAACGCUGGCGGUAGGCCUAACACAUGCAAGUCGAACGGCAGCACAGGAGAGCUUGCUCUCUGGGUGGCGAGUGGCGGACGGGUGAGGAAUACAUCGGAAUCUGCCCAGUCGUGGGGGAUAACGUAGGGAAACUUACGCUAAUACCGCAUACGACCUUCGGGUGAAAGAGGGGGACCGCAAGACCUCCCGCGAUUGGAUGAGCCGAUGUCGGAUUAGCUAGUUGGCGGGGUAAUGGCCCACCAAGGCGACGAUCCGUAGCUGGUCUGAGAGGAUGAUCAGCCACACUGGAACUGAGACACGGUCCAGACUCCUACGGGAGGCAGCAGUGGGGAAUAUUGGACAAUGGGCGCAAGCCUGAUCCAGCCAUACCGCGUGGGUGAAGAAGGCCUUCGGGUUGUAAAGCCCUUUUGUUGGGAAAGAAAUCUUUCAGGCUAAUACCCUGGGAGGAUGACGGUACCCAAAGAAUAAGCACCGGCUAACUUCGUG
rnacentral:rRNA from 1 species